rnacentral:tRNA from 1 species
GUAGCGUAGUAGUGUAAUAGGUUGCACACAAGUUAAUACAACUUGAGGUAUUGGUUCGAAUCCAAUCGCGCUACU